GAGCGUGGAAGCGGGACGCGCAGGGAGCGUGACGGCGGCUGGACGGAGGCAGGCGUGCGGGAGGGGAUGGAGCCCCUUGCUGCCAGCAGUGUCGUCACGCGCCCGGUGACUCCGCUGGCAGAGCGAGGCAAGCAGAGGACUGAGGAUCAUUAGGCUUCCAGAAGGAGACUGGAGCGAUAUUGGCAGCCUAGGAGUGAAGGGAGUGGCCGGGAUCAAGGGAGUCAUUCAGCCGGCCUGCCUGCGACGUUCACAGCUUCCUUCUAAGUUAGAGAAACGAUUCGGAGACUGCCGACUCGAGGUGAAAAUCUUGCCACCUGUUAAAAUGAAGGAGCAGAGUUGUGAAGUUAUGAAUAAUAGGAGUUCGCCUUCCACCCACUGGCCAGACGUGGGAGAGAAAGAGAAGGGAAGCCAGAUGAGGUGAUUCGUUGUCAUCAUCCUCACCUUUGUCCUCCUCCUCCUCUCAUCAGAAGACACUGAGAAUAAGCCUUAGGGAACACAUGGGGGCUGCCUCCACACAUGUUAAAUUAUGUCAUGAGAGAUCAGCAGCAAACUUACUAUAUUCGGAUUUAGAACUACAAUCAAAGUGACGCAAUGGAGUAUCGUAACUAAUCAAACAGGAAUUUUGAACCAAAAAGAUCUGAGUUUGGUAUUCUUUUUCAGUACAUGUGAGCUACAGAAUCUU
rnacentral:lncRNA from 1 species